CAUGAGUUUAUUCAAAUUUGAUCAAAGGGUGAAGUCAUCUAUUUCAGCACCUUGGACCAUGCAGAACUCUGAUAUGUUGAAAGGAGGAAAAAGGCAGGAAAUAGUCACUCACACAUGGAAUUAGGGUUGGGUUUCCAGAGGGCACAGGGAAUGAUCCAACUUCCUUACUUUCAGGAUGGCUUGUGGUGGUGAGGGUGUGGUUCCACUCUUAGAAUGAAGAAGUUGGAUUUUUUAUUUUUAAAAAUUUUUAUCAUUAGACAACAUUGGGAAAUGUUAACUUGAACAGUCAACAAUGCUGACUCCAGCAGCUUGAGUUGCUCUGAGUUUGAGGAGUUCUAGUGCUGUUUCUGGCAACUUCAACAUAAUCAUCUUCACUGGUGUGAAUACAUGAAGUUUGGACAGGCUUCUCCAUGGCCUGGACACCAGUUCCCAGCUAAGUCACUUUCUUUUUGGCUAAAAACCCCUGCCCAGAAGCUGAUCAUUGCAGUGCUGGUGGAGAUCGCAGGUCGCUCAGGCUUGCAGAUGGGUCAAGGGCUGUGGAGAGCGGCCAGAAACCAGCAGCUACAACAGGAAGGAUAUAGUGAGCAAGGCUACCUCACCAGAGAGCAGAGCAGAAGAAUGGCUGUAAGCAACGUUUCUAACACUGAUCAUUGCAAGCAAGUCCAAGGAGGCAUUGAUAUGUGUCAUCUUUUGAAAGCAAGGAAAUCUAAAGAACAAGAAGGAUUCAUUAAUUUGGUAAUGUUGGCUCCUGAACUGAGCUUUACCAUCUUGUCCUACGUGAAUGCAACUGACCUAUGUAUGGCUUCAUGUGUUUGGCAGGACCUUGCUAAUGAUGAACUUCUCUGGCAAGGGGAUCGAACUCCAGACCUUGUGCUUCUGAGGCAGGCAGUGGAACCACUGAGCUAAAUCCCUGGACCUAGACUGAAUGAUUUCUAUCUGGGAAUAUAAUUGAAAGAAUUAAUCUAAAUAACCAAACUUUCUAGUAGUGACAUGUCUAACAUAGACUUCCUAAUGGUACAGAAUUAUAAUAUAAAAUUAUGUAGGUAUUUUAUCAACUGCUAAAUACAAGAAAAUCAUCAACUUCUUCUUUCAGAGCCUUGUCAUAGUGAAGGUACUGCUAAUAUGAGGAAAUUAUAUUAAUUAGUAGCAUUUAAAUAUUGACUUCUUACUCAUUUGAAUAUAAAAGGAAAUUAAACUACUUUAAAACUGGUUCAUUCUUUAUAA
rnacentral:lncRNA from 1 species